AGGCACCUCUGAGCAAGUAGCAGGAACCCUCUGCAGCAAAAAGUAGUGGGAAAACAGCACCGAUCCAUGGGUGAAGGGACAGUUUGGGUAACUACACCUGCUGCUGCAAGGCCCUUGCUGUAGGGUGUGGAAAGCUGUGACACUGGCUGCAUGACCAGCCUGACUGGUGUUGUCGCUGCAAGGGAAGAUAAGACCUGCUUUACUUCAGUGUUUGUCCUGUGCCUGGCCCAAGGCCUCUGCUCAACCCUCUACAACAGCAAGGCUGUAAAGCUCAAGUGAUUCUUGUGAAAGACCAGCUAGCACUGGAAGCUCUGCCCUUAAGUCUCCAUUUGCCCUGCUUGCUGCCUAAAUGGUCUGAUAAUGGUGCUGUUGCUGGUCUUUGACUUGAUUCAGGUUUCUUUGAAGGUAACACCGUGACUUCUCCUUCCAUAGUUUCUGGAAGCAUGCCCUCUGCUUGACUGAGUCAUGCUCUGUGGAUUUAUAAUUAUCUGUGUUGCCUACAUAUCCAUUAAGGGAUUUUAUAUGUUAAUCUCACAAGAUGUACUGCUCACUUUGGUACUUUCAUCUCACCGUGUGCCUGCGAGCUCUGCCAGCAGUGCGCUGGGCUAGCUGCAGGGCAAGCAGAGGUGAGGACGGGCACUGCCCCUGACUCACUGCCUCCGCUCUUCUCUGACCCCAGAGUGGUUCCUGGCACCGGGGAGAUACUUCCAGAUCGGCACCGAGCCCUGGGGCUUUCAGCAUUGGCACUUUGGCUCCGCUUCCUGCACCUCUGAGAGUAACGAGUGGUUCUGCAUUAGCAAAAUCAGCUCUUACUGAACUACAGAGUCUGCAGGGCCAUAGAAAUGGGCUACAUCUGGUUUGAGGAACUAUGUUGCCUUUACAGGAUUUUCUCCUGGAAGUAAUGAUAACAAUGCAUAAGGCAUGGAAAGGACAAAGUGUCAACACUACCCACUGAUCUAAGAAUAUGUGGAAAUAAUGUUUCAGACUAUGAAAAUCAAAUUUUAAUACAAUUUGAAUAUGGUUUAAACCCUGUAUUGGCUCCAGCUGUUGGACAGGAAACGAAACUGUGCUAAAGCAAAUGAUCAACCAUCCCUGUGCACGAGAAGUUGGUUCAUUUCCAGUUUUCUAUUGCUAUGGUAGUUCACUACUUAUUGUCUAGGCUGAGGUUAUUUGUAAAGAUAGCUACCAAGCAGCAUUUGAAUGUCUAUUUUACAAUUGUGUUAUUUCAAGCACUUGUUUGCUUAUACAAAGUAACAUUCAGUAAAGUGAUGUUGAGCUUUAUACUGUGAUUACACCCAUUCACAAGAGCACUAUGUGGUGGUUUUCUUCACCUAAGAAUUACUGUUUUUGUAAAAUAGCUCUAAUAGCUGUGUGAACAUUCUCGGUGAAUAUAUUACAGAUGAACAUUCAUGUAUUGUUUUAGAUCUUGAUUCAUAUUAAAAGCAAUAUAAAAACCUCCCAAUUGGAGUUUCUGCUCUAAAUGACAAUUUAUGAUGAAGUCUUAGGUUUU